rnacentral:rRNA from 1 species
GACGAACGCUGGCGGCGUGCUUAACACAUGCAAGUGGAGCGACGAACCAGGCUUCGGCCUGGGGCAAAGCCGCGAACGGGUGAGUAACACGUGGGUAACCUGCCCCGAUGACCGGGAUAACCCGAGGAAACUCGGGCUAAUACCGGAUGUGCUGCACGGCCUCAAGGCCGUGUAGCAAUGGAAGCUUCGGCCUCCGCAUUGGGAGGGGCCCGCGGCCCAUUAGCUUGUUGGUGAGGAAAGGCUCACCAAGGCAACGAUGGGUAGCUGGUCUGAGAGGACGGAUCAGCCACACUGGGACUGAGACACGGCCCAGACUCCUACGGGAGGCAGCAGUGGGGAAUC